CCGGCGCGGCGGAGGGGCGGGGCCUCGCCGGGGGCCAGCGGAAGUGCCUCUGGGCCUUCCCGGCCCUCCGGAGCGGGGUACCCUGGCCCAGCUACUCUCCAGUUCUUCCCAGAACAAUCGGCUUCUAGACCAAGUUCCGCCAGGACCCCCAAGAAGAACUGAUCCGAAGAGGAGGCCCCAGGUCUGCGAUCCGACUGUCUCAGGCGGUGCUUUCUGCCCCUCCCCUUCCCCUCCCUCCCUCCAUUCCGCAGUCCCUGGCGCGGCCGCAGGCGCCGGGAGGUAUGGGGGGCGCCGCCCAGGUGGCUUCGGCUUGGAUCAGGGCCUGGGAGAGGGACGCCGAACGCCCCUGGGUCUCCCGGCGGCCGUCCGAGGCCGGUCCUGGUCCCCGAGCCGCGCGAACUUCCCGGAGCGGCUCUCCAUCGGGGUCCGGCGCGGGCGGGGAUAGUGCCGGAGUUUUACAUAUGUCUCCUUCUCCCCUCCCUCCCCAAGAGGACUUCUGACCAUUUCGCCUGGGGUAAGGCUAACGGGUCCCGAGCUGGGCGCGGACGCUUCUCCGAAAGCUCUUUCUGCAACUUUGAGAAAGCCAUCUAACUCCUCCAGGGUGCAAUCCCCGCCGACACAGCCUCGACGUCCGCGGCACCUUGGCGACUGUGUCGGCGAGAAAUAAAGGAGAGGCACCUUCCCUAGCAUUGCACCAGGGCCCGCGCUCUGCAGGCUGCCCCUCGCCCUCUUCGCCGACAGCCCACAGCCUCCGCCGAGUCUCCGCUGCAAACUUGCAUCUAAGAAAGUUCGGGCUUCCUCUGCCGGCGAAUUUGCUUUCAGUUUUCGCUGCGGGCGGGCUCGGCCUGGUGGGUUUCCGGAGCAUCCACAAGCAGUGGGGGCUGCUAGGCACGGCGGGGCAGCGAGGGGUCCCUUGGCCCGAGGGGGCUGGUCGUCCAGCCUCCCCGGAAGCCCCCCCCCCACCUGCCGCCUGGCGAGCACGGGAGGCCACCUUGUGUCGCGUUGCAGGCCGGUGCGUCUGCAGACAGGAGAACCGGGAGGCGUCGCCUGCCCGCUGGCAGCGAGCUGGAUUUAUUCGGAUAGAGGCAGUGUGCACACCGCAGCCAGAGAAAUCCCAUCGAUUCUAAAAAAUGACAAGGUGGAAUUUAUUGGAUCAAGAUUCAUGUGUAGUGCAGGGAGA